CAGUCUUGACCGGGAGAGCGCAGCGCAGGCUGCCGCCGAAGGGGCAUUACCCAAAAACUCUCAGGCAACCGGACCGGUCAGGGGCU
rnacentral:ncRNA from 2 species